UAAUACAGAGAGUGCAAGCGUUAAUCGGAAUUACUGGGCGUAAAGAGCACGUAGGCGGAGAUUUAAGUUGGAUGUGAAAGCCCUGGGCUUAACCUAGGAACUGCAUCCAAAACUGGAUUUCUAGAGUAUGGUAGAGGGAAGUGGAAUUUCUGGUGUAGCGGUGAAAUGCGUAGAUAUCAGAAAGAACAUCAGUGGCGAAGGCGGCUUCCUGGACUAAUACUGACGCUGAGGUGCGAAAGCGUGGGGAGCAAACAGG
rnacentral:rRNA from 1 species